rnacentral:rRNA from 1 species
UGGGGAAUAUUGGACAAUGGGGGGAACCCUGAUCCAGCCAUGCCGCGUGUGUGAAGAAGGUCUUAUGGUUGUAAAGCACUUUAAGCGAGGAGGAGGCUCUUCUAGUUAAUACCUAGGAUGAGUGGACGUUACUCGCAGAAUAAGCACCGGCUAACUCUGUGCCAGCAGCCGCGGUAAUACAGAGGGUGCGAGCGUUAAUCGGAUUUACUGGGCGUAAAGCGUGCGUAGGCGGCUUUUUAAGUCGGAUGUGAAAUCCCCGAGCUUAACUUGGGAAUUGCAUUCGAUACUGGGAAGCUAGAGUAUGGGAGAGGAUGGUAGAAUUCCAGGUGUAGCGGUGAAAUGCGUAGAGAUCUGGAGGAAUACCGAUGGCGAAGGCAGCCAUCUGGCCUAAUACUGACGCUGAGGUACGAAAGCAUGGGGAGCAAACAGG